CAACAACGACCCCGGGGACCCCAACAACACCCCGAGGGACCCCAAUACCCUGAGGGACCCCAGCAACACCUGGAGGACCCCAACAACAACCCCAGGGUCCCUCCCCAACAACACCCCCAGGGUCCCCAACAACACCCCCAGGGACCCCAAUACCCGGAGGGACUCCAGCAACACCUGGAGGACCCCAACAACACCCGGAGGGACCCCAAAAACACCUGGAGGACCCCAACACCCCCAGGGAUCCCAACAACAACUCCAGGGUCCCCAACAACACCUGGAGGACCCCAACAACACCCGGAGGGGUCCCCAACACCCGGAGGUGGCCCCAACAACACCUGGAGGACCCCAACAACACCCUGAAGGUCCCCAACAACACCCGGAGGGACCCCAACAACACCCAGAGAGGUCCCCAACACCCGGAGGGGUCCCCAACACCCACAACUGUCCCCACCAACACCCGGAGGGGUCCCCCACAACACCCGGAGGGGUCCCCAACACCGUCACCAACACCCGGAGCUGUGAUUGUCCGCAGAGCGCCCCAUAGAGCCCCAUAACCACCCCAUAGGGCCCCAUAGCCACCCCAUAGCUCCCCACAGUGCCCCAUAGCCACCCCAUAGGGCCCCAUAAGCACCCCAUAUGGACUUGUAUCCACCCCAUAGCACCCCACAGCGCCUUAUAACCACCCUAUACCCAUCCCAUAGUGCCCC
ensembl:lncRNA